UUGACUUGGACAAUAUCUAAUUUAUGAUCUGAUCUCAAAUCAGGUAGGACUACCCGCUGAACUUAAGCAUACAAAA
rnacentral:rRNA from 1 species